rnacentral:rRNA from 1 species
CCUACGGGUGGCAGCAGUGAGGAAUAUUGGUCAAUGGACGAGAGUCUGAACCAGCCAAGUAGCGUGAAGGAUGACUGCCCUAUGGGUUGUAAACUUCUUUUAUAUGGGAAUAAAAUGUUCCACGUGUGGGAUUUUGUAUGUACCAUAUGAAUAAGGAUCGGCUAACUCCGUGCCAGCAGCCGCGGUAAUCCGGAGGAUCCGAGCGUUAUCCGGCUUUAUUGGGUUUAAAGGGAGCGUAGGUGGGUUGUUAAGUCAGUUGUGAAAGUUUGGGGCUCAACCGUAAAAUUGCAGUUGAAACUGGCAGUCUUGAGUACAGUAGAGGUGGGCGGAAUUCGUGGUGUAGCGGUGAAAUGCUUAGAUAUCACGAAGAACUCCGAUUGCGAAGGCAGUUCACUGGACUGCAACUGACACUGAGGCUCGAAAGUGUGGGUAUCAAACAGGAUUAGAUACCCCUGUAGUC